rnacentral:rRNA from 1 species
AGCCGAGGCAUUAUUAACUGCGUUAAAGGGGAUAUCUCAAAUAUCCUGUGCGCAGUGAUUUUGCAGAAUAAGGAGUGCUUAGGGGCCAGAGUAUCAUACGGCGACUGGUGAAAUGGGAUGACCCGUGUGGGAGUAACAGAGGCGAAAGCGCUGGCCAGGGGCGAGUCCGAUGGUAAAGGACGUAGGCUAGAGGAUCGAAGACGAUUAGAGACCGUUGUAGUUCUAGCAGUAAACGAUGCCGAUGUUGUGGUGCCGAAUAAUGGCGACGCGAAAGAGAAAUCGAGUAGGGCCCUGGGGAGAGUACACGCGCAAGCGAGAAAUUUAAAGGAAAUUGACGGAAGAACACCACAAGGAGUGGAGUGUGCGGCUUAAUUUGACUCAACGCGGGACAACUUACCGGGCCCGACGACCGUAAGAGUGUAACACACGAUAGGUCGAAGAGUGGUGCAUGGCCGUUAACGACGAGUGGAGUGAUCUUUGGGUUAAGUCCGUAAAUUAGUGAGACCUCAGCCGUAAGGGACAGGUGCGCAAAGCACAGGAAGGAUGGGUCAAGGACAGGUCAGUGAUGCCCUUAGAUGGUCCGGGCUGCACGCGCACUACAGUGGUCGCCGGAAUUACCUGAUAAUUAUAAAGGCGAUCGAGAGGGAAUGAGCUUUGUAAGAGGCUCAGGA